UACGUAGGGUGCAAGCGUUGUCCGGAAUCAUUGGGCGUAAAGCGCGCGUAGGUGGUCCCGUAAGUCCGCUGUGAAAGUCAAAGGCUCAACCUUUGAAAGCCGGUGGAUACUGUGGGACUAGAGUACGGAAGAGGCGAGUGGAAUUCCUGGUGUAGCGGUGGAAUGCGCAGAUAUCAGGAGGAACACCAAUAGCGAAGGCAGCUCGCUGGGACGUUACUGACACUGAGGCGCGAAAGCCAGGGGAGCGAACGGG
rnacentral:rRNA from 1 species